UGACAAACGUCCACUAUAGACUCAAAAAUCUCAAUAUUUUUCGGCAUAAGUUUGCAAUAAUUUUUUUAUUUUUUUAGUUAGAGCUAUAUGUGUCAUUACGUGCUUUUAUUUUACUGAACGUAGCUGCAGUUACCUUGCCAGUCACGCAGGUAACCGUAGCGCCGUAGCCGCCGCAGCGUUGACCCGCCAACCCAAUGCGCUUGAGAUCACGAGAUGGCAGCGUCCGUUAGGGCAUUAGUGCAUUAAUGCCAUAAUGCUUUUUUAAGGUGUUUUGGUGCAUCGGCCCUUCGAAGUCUACGUAAUUAUUCGUAGGCUUUUUUUAUAGGCCGCCUAUUAAUCGGGUUUUCUGGCUCUUCUAUCGUCUGCUGUGGGGCGAUAACAGUGUCAUGUCAACUUUAACGAGCUUAGUUAGAGCUGCCGGCAGGUGCUUCAACGUGAUAUACAAGGGCCUAUCAGCACAGACUGGCCAACUGCUACAGCCCUUAGCUGUAUCAGCAGAGUUACAGCAAGUGAGAAAUAGAGUGCAUUGCUUUUUUCCACGUCCAAGCGAGCACAAGAGAAUAGCCAAGUUUGGCUUCAAGAAGCGCAUCUCGACUAAAAAUGGGAGAAAAGUACUUUUUCGCCGUAUGCUGAAAGGGAGACACGUGUUGUCCCAUUGACAGUUUGUGCCACCAUGCAUUAGAGUAGUAUUGUAUUAGUCGCCAGUAAACUACAUGUUUUGUAUGCA